rnacentral:rRNA from 1 species
AUUGAACGCUGGCGGAAUGCUUUACACAUGCAAGUCGAGCGGCAGCGCGGGGCAACCUGGCGGCGAGCGGCGAACGGGUGAGUAAUGCAUCGGAACGUACCCCGUCGUGGGGGAUAACUACCCGAAAGGGUAGCUAAUACCGCAUACGACCUGAGGGUGAAAGCGAGGGACCGAAAGGCCUCGCGCGAUGGGAGCGGCCGAUGCCGGAUUAGCUAGUUGGUAGGGUAAAGGCCUACCAAGGCGACGAUCCGUAGCUGGUCUGAGAGGACGACCAGCCACACUGGAACUGAGACACGGUCCAGACUCCUACGGGAGGCAGCAGUGGGGAAUUUUGGACAAUGGGCGAAAGCCUGAUCCAGCCAUUCCGCGUGAGUGAAGAAGGCCU